AGCAGUCAAGUCAAAUUCAGCUCCAUUCCUAUCGUCAUGGGGACUGGCCAAGAGGACUGCCACAGCAAGCCACACAGCUCAUGGGCCCUGGGUCCCCCUGCUCUGGGACUCAGGCAUAAGUUUGGUUGUGGACAUUG